AGUAAAAAUUUUGUUCACGUCCAUUUUUUCGGAAUCCAGUUGUUCUUGGAUAUACCUCUGUUUUACUUCAAUAUCCUUAUGCUCUGUGGCAUUUGAAUGUUGAUGAUGGGCGCGGCGAUUCCUUUUACUUGCAAUCAGCACUUGUGGAUUUCUACCAUUUCUCGUCAUUCGCUCCAAAGUAGCCCUGAUUUUCGAAUCUCUUGCCAAUCGAAGGAAUUAGUUCCUGAUAUUUGGAGGUUUUCAGCGGAGAGGUAUGGCGAUCGGGUAGCAUUACUGGAUCCAUAUCAUAAUCAUGCUUCCAAGAUUACUUAUAAACAGGUAUUAUGAGUAUGGGAGCAAUUAAUGUUGUUAGAGGUUCAAGAUCAUCAAGUGAGGAGUUGUUGCAAAUAUACAAUUGAAAGAUAAAGAAUUUAUGGGAUGUUAUACCUGCUAAAGUUGGGGAUAAAUUUCUAAGCAUGCUUUCACCUUGGCAUGCGUACGAACGGGCUUGUGAAUAUUUCAUAUUUACACUUGGAGUGGAGCAAACGUACACAACAACAAGAAAGUUAAAGGUAUUUCAAUUACACCAAAUCUGGGAAAUUAGAAUUUUUUUUAAACUCCUCUGUAUUUGAGUUGUCAGGAUGAUCUUCGUGAUUAUCAACCAGACUACUUGGUUUCUGUUCCAUUGGUGUGAUUAUAGUUCCCAACAAGGGACAACUGUUGUCUGCUACAUCCUAUCUUAGCAAUGAAACCUUGACAAACCUGAUUUAUAGUGAACUCAGAAAAUGGACUUCAGAGUGUUCAUUUCAAAUUAGACCAAUCCUCAUUGUCAAUGAACCAUUCACGAUGGAUAAUGGGUUACUGAGCCCUACAAUGAAAGUUCGAAGACACAACGUUACUGCUUAUUACAAGAAGGAAACAGAGAACUUAUUCAAGGCAAUAUAAUGUGGUAAGGCAAUAUAACGUGGUUAAUUAGUCUCUGGACUUGGACAAACAUUUAGCACAAGCUAUAUAUAUAAAUAACUUUAUAAUAUGCUACA